UUGAGUUGAGAUUGGUUUUAGAAUGAACGGAUUAUUUUUCACAAGCUUACUUAAGGGUUUAUACAGCUUGAGGGAAGAGAGAAGUAAUGGGUGAUGAAAUACGGUGUGAUGCGAAAUGAGAGAAAUAAAGAAAUGUAAAGGUCGUAUGAAAAUGAAAUGUGUGAGAAGUUCAUAUGAAAAUGAGAUGUGUGAAAAUAUCAUACCUUUUGAGUAAAAUAAUGAGAGAAAGAGACGGAUGUUUCAAAAUUGCAAGUACAGUCCGUUGUUAGCUGAACAUGGCGUUUUAAAGGGGAACAUCCUGAAUUUUUCUGUUUGCGAAGUUCAGGACCCUUGAAUUUGGAUAUGAAAUGUUGAGGGAGAAUAAACAGCUCCAAUUUUGUAGGAAUUGAGCCAAGGAUUACAUUGCUCCAAGAUUCUGAAAAUGUCUUUAUACAUGAUAAAAUAGUUUAAAUAAAUUAUAAAUAUUAAAGAAAAAAUCACACCAAAGCUAUACACUCCUUUUAUACUCCCUGACCCUUAGAUUUUAUUUAUAAGCAAAAUUUAGGUCAACAAAAAUCAUGCAUGUGUCUAAAUUUAUUGAUAGAAAUGUCUGUUAUAAAUAAGAUUAGAGUGUAUCAUAUGAUCUCCAUAAACUUGGUAUGGACAUUACAUAUGAGGAUGAAUUUCUAGCCACUAUGUUAUUUUUUUUUAAAAAGUAUAUCAUAUAAAAUAUUUUUUUAGGGACGUAUAGAAUAGAUAUUAUAUAAUCUAUUUAUAAAAAAUUGUGGCGUGGAUUAAAGUCGAUAAUAGUAAUCAUGUAGUAUCUAUCCCUCUCUAAAAAAAAUCACGUAGUAUCAAUCAAUAUUAAUCACAAUCAUAAGUUGCUUUCUUUUUUUAGGGGAAUCAUAAGUUGCCUUAUUAUAUGCAUAAAAAAAAAUCGUAAGUUUCCUUACAAAUAGGAGCACAACGCAAGACAGGCGUGUGUGCAUAUACAUUAGCUGAAUUGGGACCUUAGUAGUUUAGUUAGUAGUAUAAGUAAUGAGUGAUUCAAAUUUUCACUACUUCCAUUCUACCUUAAUUAAGUCGGUUCGUUCCUCUGCUCAUUCAUAUCUUUCUUUGCUUUAAAUUGUUACAUUAUUAAUUAAGAAUAUCUUUAGUAUCUUUUUAAAUUACAGUAGAGUAUCUUUUACCAUUAUAUUGUUUAUUUUUAUAAUGAUUUGUUCUUGAUUUAUGAUUGAGUGAGUUUAUGUACCUCUAUUAAUAGAGAUUACUAUUCAAGUUUUGUUAAACCCUAGCCUCUGUAAUAGAAUCCUAACUUGUUGCUUAGACAUGGUGGCCAUCAGAAAUAUUCUGCUUUUGUUUCUUUGUAUUACUGUUUUUACUCCAAUUCUGCUUUACACUUACACUGAUAAUCUCACCGCCGUCAACUACUCCUCCGGUGUGUUUCUCAUUGUUUGCUUAUUGAAUUCACAUUUCUAACUUUAACACACUAACCUAAAUUCUUUCUUUAUUUUUACUUUCUUUUUUAUGCAUUCUGCAGCUGAACAAGAGUUUGUUCAUAAUGUAACUACUUUUGUAAGUAAUAGUAUUUGAAAGAAUUAUUACUACUUUGAUUGUUUAUUUUUUGUUGAUUGAGAUCUUUGAAUUUGUCGAGUUUCUCUUGUUAUGUCAUGUCAGGUUGUCGAUCAACAAACUUAUCUGCAUAUGUGGAUGAACUCCUUGGUAAUUUAAUUUCCUGUUGAAAUUUCUCAUUUUGAUAACAGGAAAUCUCUACCGUCCUUCAGAAACCGAUUAGGGUUGUGUAUCCAGAGGACUCUUCAAACAUAAAUAAUUUGCCUCAUGAUAUAGUAAGUGACAUAUUGUUUUGCUUCUGAUCAAACAUCCGAACUAUAUAAGUGACAUAUUUACAUCAUGGUAUUGUUUUGCUUGCUAUUGUUAGUUUGUUCACCAAGGGUACAAAACAUUCCUUAGGUUUCUGGUCAUGCUAGGAAAUUUAUACUUGUCUAUUUAUAUGAGUAGGCUGUGCAUAAUUUAUCAAAUAUAGUAUUUAGUGUACUUGCUUUAAUUUGUUUUCCUAUUAGGAGUUUAAAUCUGACUGUAUUGAUAUCUCAAACACACUUCUUAAUUGUGAAAGAACACCUGUUCGUGUUUAAUGUCCUUUCGUCAGCAUGAUGGAUGCAUGGCUGAAAUGCAUCUUUGUAUGCACUUGUGGACUGUGGUUAGACACAAUUAUUUUAUGCAGGUGCUAUCAUGGCAGUGUAAAUACAACACAUGCAUGUUCGUUGGAUUCAAUAUUUCCAUCCAUCUCUUCAUUGCUUUGGCUUUGAUAUAUAUGUAUUUUGUAUAAGCGAGGAAAACAAACCUUAGUGCUGAUUGAAAUUUUCUUCUUUAAAUUUGGUUCAUCUUCUUUCAGCUUACUGAGCAAGGGAAACAACAUAUUGAAUCUCC
rnacentral:lncRNA from 1 species